rnacentral:rRNA from 1 species
UACGUAGGGGGCAAGCGUUAUCCGGAAUUAUUGGGCGUAAAGAGCUCGUAGGCGGUUUGUCGCGUCUGCUGUGAAAACUGGGGGCUCAACCCCCAGCCUGCAGUGGGUACGGGCAGACUAGAGUGCGGUAGGGGAGAUUGGAAUUCCUGGUGUAGCGGUGGAAUGCGCAGAUAUCAGGAGGAACACCGAUGGCGAAGGCAGAUCUCUGGGCCGUAACUGACGCUGAGGAGCGAAAGCAUGGGGAGCGAACAGG